rnacentral:rRNA from 1 species
CCUACGGGGGGCAGCAGUGGGGAAUAUUGGGCAAUGGGCGCAAGCCUGACCCAGCAACGCCGCGUGAAGGAAGAAGGCUUUCGGGUUGUAAACUUCUUUUAAGAGGGAAGAGCAGAAGACGGUACCUCUUGAAUAAGCCACGGCUCACUACGUGCCAGCAGCCGCGGUAAUACGGAGGGGGCAAGCGUUGUCCGGAUUUACUGGGGGUAAAGGGCGUGCAGGAGGGAAGACAAGUCAGAUGGGAAAGCCCGCGGCUGAAACGCGGAACUGCAGUUGAAACUGUUUUUCUUGAGUACCGGAGAGGUCAGCGGAAUUCCUUGUGUAGCGGUGAAAUGCGUAGAUAGAAGGAAGAACACCAGUGGCGAAGGCGGAUGACUGGACGGCAACUGACGGUGAGGCGCGAAAGCGUGGGGAGCAAACAGGAUUAGAUACCCUAGUAGUC